rnacentral:rRNA from 1 species
AUUGAACGCUGGCGGCAUGCCCUACACAUGCAAGUCGAACGGCAGCGCGGGAGCAAUCCUGGCGGCGAGUGGCGAACGGGUGAGUAAUACAUCGGAACGUGCCCAAUCGUGGGGGAUAACGCAGCGAAAGCUGUGCUAAUACCGCAUACGAUCUACGGAUGAAAGCAGGGGAUCGCAAGACCUUGCGCGAAUGGAGCGGCCGAUGGCAGAUUAGGUAGUUGGUGAGGUAAAGGCUCACCAAGCCUUCGAUCUGUAGCUGGUCUGAGAGGACGACCAGCCACACUGGGACUGAGACACGGCCCAGACUCCUACGGGAGGCAGCAGUGGGGAAUUUUGGACAAUGGGCGAAAGCCUGAUCCAGCCAUGCCGUGUGCAGGAUGAAGGCCUUCGGGUUGUAAACUGCUUUUGUACGGAACGAAACGGUCUUUUCUAAUAAAGAAGGCUAAUGACGGUACCGUAAGAAUAAGCACCGGCUAACUACGUG